AAUUGUUUCUUUUUACCCAUGUGGAAAUCCAUUCGUUUUUACCAACAAAUGUGUACUGAAUACCUGUCAUGAGUCAAACACCUUUUGAGGUGCUGGGGAUGAAGAGGUGAAGAAAAGCAGCACAGCCCUCGACCUCACAGAGCUUGCUUUCAGCUGGGGAGACAGAUCACAAUAACCAGACUGGCAAGACUGGAUGUAGAAAAGUAUCACCUAUAGAAAAGUAUUUGCAAAUAAAUGGAGUGCUCUACAACCAAACAUCUCUGCAGAAAAGAAGGGAAGAGAGAAGCCAGCUUUGUGUGAAGAUCGUGAAGGAAAUGGCAUGAGUUGGGGAGUAUCACAUGAAGUUGGGGAGUAUCACCCGAAGUUGGGGAGUAUCACCCGAAGUUAGGGAGUAUCACACGAAGAACAGGCAGCAGGUUUGUGACUCUAAAUCAAAUACAGCAUCUCAUGUAAUCAAAAACUUUAAAACUACAAAAUAUAUGUUAUUUUUGAGUCUACAAAAAUAAAUAUGAAAAACAGGA